GACGAACGCUGGCGGCGUGCUUAACUCAUGCAAGUCGAACGAAGUGGCGAACGGGUGAGUAAUACGUAGGUAACCUGCCCUCCUUUUUGGGAUAAGCCUUGGAAACGGGGUCUAAUACCGAAUAAAGUGGGAUGGGCUCGCGGCCUAUCAGCUUGUUGGUGGGGGGAUGGCCUACCAAGGCGGUGCCGGGUAGCCGGCCUGAGCGGGUGACCGGCCACAUUGGGACUGAGAUACGGCCAAGAGUCCUAGGGGGGGCAGAAGUGGGGGAUAUUGCACAAUGGACGAAAGGCUGAUGCAGCGACGCCGCGUGGGGGAUGAAGGCUUUCGGGUUGUAAACCUGUUUCGCUAUAGAACGGGUAGGUGGAGAAGAAGCGCCGGCUAACUACGUGCCAGCAGCCGCGGUAAUUC
rnacentral:rRNA from 1 species